UACGUAGGUGGCAAGCGUUGUCCGGAUUUACUGGGCGUAAAGAGCGCGCAGGCGGUCGUUUAAGUCGAAUGUGAAAGCCCCCGGCUCAACUGGGGAGGGUCAUUCGAUACUGAUCGACUUGAAGGCAGGAGAGAGAAGUGGAAUUCCCGGUGUAGUGGUGAAAUGCGUAGAUAUCGGGAGGAACACCAGUGGCGAAGGCGGUUCUCUGGGCCUUACCUGACGCUGAGGAGCGAAAGCUAGGGGAGCGAACAGG
rnacentral:rRNA from 1 species